rnacentral:lncRNA from 1 species
GGUGCAUCUACUGCAUUUCUAAGUACUCAGGAUAUAUAUGCUACCCACUUUCCCAACUCCUAACUCCAGUUUUCCUCCCAUCAGAUACGCUGCUUUACUGUUACCAACCCAGUUCACAUCUCAGCAUCUCAGAAAUUGAUUGCAUUGUCUGGUGAAGCAUAGGAAAUUUGUUCUCGAGGAUAAGGGUCACGAAGAUCAUUGUUUAAUGAAGACAGCCAAAAAACAAAUAGCAGUACAAAUAAUUCAAUAGAAAAAGGAAAUCACAGAAUCACAUUAUUU